rnacentral:lncRNA from 1 species
GUUCAUUUCACUUUUUGCCCAUCCCCCGCUCAUCUAGACUCUGAUUGGCCCCUGGGGAAGGAGCAGCCUGCUCAUUGGUCUCCACCUUCGAAUCUCUUCCCUAAGUAGGCCUGAGUCAGUGAAGAGCUUUGGAGGGCGGGACUGAAUGGGGGUUAAUCAGAGGAUGCGAUUGCUGACCCUUUGCACUUUGGCAUGGCCCAUCCCCUAAUUUCUGACCAGAAGCCCUCCCUCUACCCUAAGCUCGUGCGUCACGACGCCGCCAGCUGAUCGGAGCCUGGAGCCGGUGUGUGCUGGGUGCCGAGAAGAGACAGCGCCGCCGGCCGUGGGGAGCGGACGCAGUGAUUUGCUCCCCCUCGUGCAGCAACCCCCACACCCAGCACCAGGCCCCCAGAACUCUCCUUCCAGCUGAACUCCCUGGGAACAAGUCAGUUGGGCUGAUCACUGAACUCACAUUUCUGGACCUGAGGAGCCUGUUCCUCUCACGCCCUCACCUGGCUGAGCCGCAGUAGUUCUUCAGUGGCAAGCUUUAUGUCCUGACCCAGCUAAAGCUGCCAGUUGAAGAACUGUUGCCCUCUGCCCCUGGCUUCGAGGAGGAGGAGGAGCUGCUUUCCCCAUCAUCUGGAAGGUGACAGAAAUGGGCUGGGAAGGUCCGAACAGCAGGGUGGAUGAUACGUUUUGGGCAAGUUGGAGAGCCUUUGCCCAGAUUGGCCCAGCAAGGAGCGGUUUUAGAUUAGAGACACUGGCUGGAUUGAGGAGUAGAAGGCUCAAACAACCCAAGGAAGCUGUGUCUGUUCGAUUUGGUGGGAGGAGAUGUGCAGGGAGCUGUAUCUUGUCCUCCGCUUGUGAAAAACUCAAGGAUGUGGAGAAGAGUAGACCGUGGAACCCUGCUCUUCUGCAGCCAAGCUGAGGGGCAGGAUGCGUGUGGGACAGUGGUAGAGAAGCAGGGGAUAGACUCAUAGGCUGCAACAAAGGUGACUCUGUCCCUGGACACUGCCUCCGUACUUUCUCCUUGCUUCACUGGCCACAGCAUCUCCCUCCAGCCCUCGCUAUGUGCCUCUGCCAUCUUCACCCAUCAUGGAGCAGAGGUGAGGAGAGGCAGCCUGGGAAUAUGGAGACCAGUGAAGGACCAGGCCUGGAGAGCACAGGGUCCUACCUGGGCAUCCAGCAGAGGAGCCCCUAAAGGCCAGGAGCACCCCAAGAGGAGGGAGGGCAGCCAGCCUCCAUUGACGGCGAGCCUCCAGCCCUCUCCUACUUUGAUCACCAUUUCUCUCCAGGCUUUCUGCCUCCGAGAUGUGGCACCAUAGUGCGGUGCCCUGUGGCUUCACCGCCCUACUUCCACCUCCGCCCAGCCUGUAAUGUUUAUAUAAGCAGCCUCAAGGACCAAGAACCAUCUGCGAAAGGACACACACAGGAAAUUCAUAAAAGAAAUCUGAAUGGAUAAAACCAUGAAAAAAAGUAUGCUUCAUUAGUAAUUAAAGAAAGGCAAAUAGAGCUGGAAGCAUUUUUCCCUUAGCAAACCAUAACAGAAAAAAAUAAGACCCAAUAUUGGCAAAGAGACUACUGAAAAAACAUUCCCAUACAUUGCGUGUGGGAGUAUACAUCGGUGCAGGCUUCCUGGAUGACAGUUGGGUGAUAUGUGUCAUGUGGCCUAAAAGCCUCCAUGUCAUUUGACCUACGAAUUCUAUCUUUGGGAAUUUAUCCUAAGAAAAUACUUAAGGAUUUAGUUAGUGAUAAGAUGUUCAUCCCAGCAUUGCAAUGGAGAAAAAUGGGAAGCAAUGGUUUGGUUGGGAAUUUAUUCCUUUUCUGCUGUAACGAAAGUUUGCAAUAGGGGAUUGCUUAAGUAAAUUAUUGUAUCUCCAUCCAGAUGGUGGAGUACCGCGCAGACAUUAAAAGUCAUGUAAAAGAACAUCUGACUGAAAGAAAAAUGCUCCUUGAAUAUUAAAAGGUUGUAAAAAUAGUGCAUGUUAUGUGAUUUCAAUUUUGUUUUUUAAAAUAUGGGUGUAUGCUUGUAUACGUAGAGCAGAUAAAAAAGACGGAAGGCAUACUAAAAAAUGUUGAGUGGUUAUCUUUGUAUGGUGGAACAAAGUCACUGUAAUUUUCAUCUUUGGUUUUUCUGUAAUUUCCAAAUUUUCCACAUUUUGUAUUUCAUAUAAUAUAA